UUGAUCCGUAAAUUUCAUGGAUGUUGUC
rnacentral:piRNA from 1 species